GGCGGGGCUUUGUGGUCCCUGAGCGGGGCUUGGUGCGAGGGGCGGGGCCGAGGAUUCUAGAUUGAGGUCCCUGGGCCGGGGUCGGGGUGCCCCAGGUGAGGCUGGGCCAGGGAGGGGGCCGCCGGCUCACACUGCGGUGUGGCUGCGUUCCGAAAAGAUGCGCAGUGUGAAGUCGGCUUCGUCGCCCACGCGGGAGGCGCUGGGGACCACCAGGUAGUGGCCGGGCGGCAGGCGGCAGCGGCGGCUCACGUCGCGGCGGGCGCAGAACACCGAGCGGUCGGCGCGCAGCAGUCCCGGCAAGAGCGCGCGGCUGCGCGGGGAGUCCCAGAGGCCCAGCAGCUGCGGGCGGGGCGCCAUGACCACCACCCACCCGAGCUCCCCACCCACCCCUCUGGUCCUCCCCACGCACACCCAGACUGUCUAGCCAGGCCCUCCCGUGUUCCCCGGCCUUCCAGCGCUGGUCGACCAAGCCCUAGGGUGGGUCUAAGGUCACAUCUGAAACCUACCUCCUCGGGAAUCUGCAGAAAGAAAAAGCCGGACGCUCCUGUGACCCUCUGCCUCUCCAGACCUCAACUUGAUCGUGGCCUCACCUGGAACACGUGGAAGCCCACAGUGAGGCUCCAGCAGCGUCAGCCGGAACUGGGGAUUGGUCCAGAAGGUUUCUAUCAAAAGAGAAGGAGGUGGGGUUCCCAGCCUGUCGAAGCCGCGACCCCAGCUUCCGCCUUAGGGCCCCCAGGCCUCACCAGCACUGGGCUGGCUCCCGCCGGAGUUGAAACCUUUCACCCAGCGGCCUUGGAAGGUGUGCAUGUGCCAGCCUCCGCCAGCGGGGCUGGGGCCGAGCACCUCAGGGCUCAGUGAGCAGAUCUGGACCGUGUUGAAGUGCGUGAGGAAGUCCUGAAGCUCCAUCCUGGACAGCAACGGAGCGUGAGAGAUGCCCGGCCGCCCCAGAGCCCAGCUUGAGGGACCCCAGAAGUGGUCCCCACCACAAAGCUCCCAGUUCCUUAAGUACUGCCAAUUAACCUCCAACCUCCAGAAACUCUGAAGCCUUGAGGCCUUGCCAAGGCAUCCAAGUCCUCACGGAUGCCCCACUUCUGAGCUUAUUUACAAACUCCUCUCGAAUAUCUUCAAAUUAACUUUAGAAAAUCCUCAAGCAGGGCCAGGAAGAUGGCGGAGCCAAUGAAAGCUGUUGCGCAGAAGCCUGGUGUUGUGGGAUAUUAAACUGUGUAAAGGUUGUUA